UGGUCAAAGAUUCUGUGAAAUGCUACUGAAUCAUAUCACAGCCGCUUUGACUGGU
rnacentral:pre_miRNA from 1 species